rnacentral:rRNA from 1 species
AAGGAGUUUAUCGUGUGCGCAAGUUUUUGGGUGUUAAAAACCUAGAAGCGAAAUGAAAGUAAAUGAUUCUUUAGAGUCUGAUGUGCAAUCUUUUUUCAGAAAAGUGCAUCAUGGCCCCAUUCUAACUGUUUACAGUAGGGUGGCGGAAGAGCGUACGCGGUGAGACCCGAAAGAUGGUGAACUAUUCCUGAGCAGGACGAAGCCAGAGGAAACUCUGGUGGAAGUCCGAAGCGGUUCUGACGUGCAAAUCGAUCGUCUGACUUGGGUAUAGGGGCGAAAGACUAAUCGAACCAUCUAGUA